GUACACCAAAAUGCACAGGUUGUGAACUCGAAGAGUAGGGCGGGACACGUGGUAUCCUGUCUGAAUAUGGGGGGACCAUCCUCCAAGGCUAAAUACUCCUGACUGACCGAUAGUGAACCAGUACCGUGAGGGAAAGGCGAAAAGAACCCCGGCGAGGGGAGUGAAAAAGAACCUGAAACCGUGUACGUACAAGCAGUGGGAGCACCUUCGGGUGUGACUGCGUACCUUUUGUAUAAUGGGUCAGCGACUUAUAUUCUGUAGCAAGGUUAACCGUAUAGGGGAGCCGCAGGGAAACCGAGUCUUAACUGGGCGUUAAGUUGCAGGGUAUAGACCCGAAACCCGGUGAUCUAGCCAUGGGCAGGUUGAAGGUUGGGUAACACUAACUGGAGGACCGAACCGACUAAUGUUGAAAAAUUAGCGGAUGACUUGUGGCUGGGGGUGAAAGGCCAAUCAAACCGGGAGAUAGCUGGUUCUCCCCGAAAGCUAUUUAGGUAGCGCCUCGUGAAUUCAUCUUCGGGGGUAGAGCACUGUUUCGGCUAGGGGGUCAUCCCGACUUACCAACCCGAUGCAAACUACGAAUACCGAAGAAUGUUAUCACGGGAGACACACGGCGGGUGCUAACGUCCGUCGUGAAGAGGGAAACAACCCAGACCGCCAGCUAAGGUCCCAAAGUCAUGGUUAAGUGGGAAACGAUGUGGGAAGGCACAGACAGCCAGGAUGUUGGCUUAGAAGCAGCCAUCAUUUAAAGAAAGCGUAAUAGCUCACUGGUCGAGUCGGCCUGCGCGGAAGAUGUAACGGGGCUAAACCAUGCACCGAAGCUGCGGCAGCGACACUAUGUGUUGUUGGGUAGGGGAGCGUUCUGUAAGCCUGCGAAGGUGACCUGUGAGGGUUGCUGGAGGUAUCAGAAGUGCGAAUGCUGACAUAAGUAACGAUAAAGCGGGUGAAAAGCCCGCUCGCCGGAAGACCAAGGGUUCCUGUCCAACGUUAAUCGGGGCAGGGUGAGUCGACCCCUAAGGCGAGGCCGAAAGGCGUAGUCGAUGGGAAACAGGUUAAUAUUCCUGUACUUGGUGUUACUGCGAAGGGGGGACGGAGAAGGCUAUGUUAGCCGGGCGACGGUUGUC
rnacentral:rRNA from 1 species